AAAAAACGCAAUUUUUGACCAUUUUCACCCUUUUUAGCCCCAGAUCUCCCUCCCCCCGCCCCCAACAUCUCGGUGACGCCCCUCAAACCCGAGUUCCUGAUCGGCGACACCGUGUCCAUCACCUGCGCCGCGCCGGCGCCGGGCGGGCGGAUCCGAGGUUUCCGUUUCUCGGGGACGUCCGGCUGGGUGACGGACGUCAGGAGCUCCAGGAGGAGCUUCAGCCACGCCUUCAACGUCACCGGCAGCAGGGACGGUGGCUUCCACACCUGCUCCUACACCGUUCUCCGGCCGGGACGCGGCGACGUCCGCUCGCCGGCCAGCCGGGCCGUGGUCAUCAACGUCCGAGAUCGUCCAACCCCACCCAGGCUGACGGUGACGCCCUCCAGCAUCACCGUGGAAGGGCAGCCCCUGGUCUUCUCCUGCCAGGCGCCGCCCGGCGAUGCCGAGAGGAGAUUUGGGAUCUUCCAGGAGGACCUGGAGGUCACCGCUGGGAUCUGGGAAGGUUCUGGAAGUUCUGGUGUCCGGCUGAGG
rnacentral:lncRNA from 1 species